rnacentral:lncRNA from 1 species
CAAUGGCGGCGGCCCAGAAUACCCAGAAACCCAUUGAGCUCUCUCUGAGAUGAUCAAGAACAAUAUACCGUUUGCCUCCGUUUCCUCAGCUUUCUUUGUGUAUAUAAAUUUUCCGAGAAAAUUAGUGAGAUCAGAGAGGCCAAGUCCCUCCCCAAGUCCCACCUAUCACGCCAUUAGCAGACCUCUCAACCAUUGCAGACUCCGUGCUUAUCACCUAUGAAACAUGGGAGCUUUUGGGUGCCUUUUUUCACAUCCAAUUGGAUAUAAAGAACUAUUUGAAUGGAUACGUGCAGCAUAUACCAACAGGAUCUACAAAAAGAAACUUACGCUACCGCUUAACGGUUACUGACCUUGGCUUCUUUCCUCGCCCCCGC